rnacentral:lncRNA from 1 species
AGGUUAUUGGAGAGGGGCUUGAAGAGAAGGGGGCUAAAUAUAGAAAUUACAGUACCUGCAUUCCUUCCUCUCCCUUCCCAAACAUCUGCAGGAGAGGGGGCAACUGCAGGGGUUAAAGCAUGGAUUGCAAGGUUGAUGUAUAAUUUGCAUGUUAUGUACCUGGUAGUAUGGAGUAAUGAGCUAGUAAAUAUAUCCUUGCCUAUAAUUAGUUGCUGAUUAAAUGUUCAAAGAUACACAGUGUGAAGCAUGAAAAACAAAUGGAUACCCACUGC